AUUGAACGCUGGCGGCAUGCUUUACACAUGCAAGUCGGACGAGUGGCGAACGGGUGAGUAAUUUAUGGGACCGUACCAGGUAUUGGGGGAUAACCACUCGAAAGAUUGGCUAAUACCGCAUACUAUCGGAGGGGCCAAUAUCGGAUUAGCUAGUUGGUGGGGUAAAGGCUUACCAAGGCGACGAUCAGUAGCGGGUCUGAGAGGAUGAUCCGCCACACUGGGACUGAGACAGGGGCCAGACUCCUACGGGAGGCAGCAGUGGGGAAGUUUGGACAAUGGGCGCAAGCCUGAUCCAGCCAUGCCGCGUGUCUGAAGAAGGCCUUCGGGUUGUAAAGGACUUUUGUUGGGGAGGCGGUACCUAAAGAAGAAGCACCGGCUAACUACGUGCCAGCAGCCGCGGUAAUAC
rnacentral:rRNA from 1 species